GUCGUGUUUCGUAUUAAACAGAAUAAAUAUAAAUAAUUACUAUUCUGCCAACGUCCACUGCUGAUUUGCAAUUUCUAAAAUUUCCACUCAUAUUAUUACUGUAUUAGUGUAUAUUAAUAACAGUGCACCUGGCUUGCGCAUUAAACAAUGACUGAGUUUAUUUCUCAGGAGACACAACGAGAGUGGAACAAAAUGCACUGCAGUCAACAUAAACUAAGGAAAUCUACACGGAGAUUAGUCAAUUUAUUGCAAGUGAUCUUUGUUACCAUAUGGUUACAGUGGACACUAAUAGGUGUCUCACUUGCGUAUUAAACAAGGACUGAGUUAAUUUCUCAGGAGACACAACGAGAGUGGAACAAAAUGCGCUGCAGUCAACACGAACUAAGGAAAUCUACACAGAGAUUAGUCAAUUUAUUGCAAGUGAUCUUUGUUACCAUAUGGUUACAGUGGACACUAAUAGGUGUCUCACUUGCGCAUUAAACAAGGACUGAGUUGAUUUCUCGGGACACUCAACGAUAGUGGAACAGAAUGCUCUGCAGUCAACAUGAACUAAGGAAAUCUACACAGAGAAUAGUCAAUUUAUUGCAAGUGCUCUUUGUUACCAUAUGGUUACAGUGGACACUAAUAGGUGUCUCACUUGAGCAUUAAACAAGGACUGAGUUUAUUUCUCAGAAGACAAAACGAAAAUGGAACAAAAUGCACUGCAGUCAACAUGAACUAAGGAAAUCUACACAGAGAAUAGUCAAUUUAUUGCAAGUGCUCUUUGUUACCAUAUGGUUACAGUGGACACUAAUAGGUGUCUCACUUGAGCAUUAAACAAGGACUGAGUUUAUUUCUCAGAAGACAAAACGAAAAUGGAACAAAAUGCACUGCAGUCAACAUGAACUAAGGAAAUCUACACAGAGAAUAGUCAAUUUAUUGCAAGUGCUCUUUGUUACCAUAUGGUUACAGUGGACACUAAUAGGUGUCUCACUUGCGCAUUAAACAAGGACUGAGUUUAUUUCUCAGAAGACACAACGAGAAUGGAACAAAAUGCACUGCAGUCAACAUGAACUAAGGAAAUCUACACAGAGAUUAGUCAAUUUAUUGCAAGUGAUCUUUGUUACCAUAUUAUGGUUACAGUGGACACUAAUAGGUUAAAAAUUUCUCGUCGUGGCAUUUAAUUAACUCUCUCAUUUGCAACAAAAUAUUUAAUUGCUUAGACAUGACAUUAGAAAACCACUAUCAUAUUUAUUUCUAUUUGAUUUUUCUUUGUCAUAUAAAAUAUCUAGAUGCAACGGUUAUACCAUAAUAUAGGUAACUACCUAUUUUUUACUUUUCCAUUUUGUACUACUAUGUAACCGUUUUUUUAUUCGGUUAUACCAUAAUAUAGGUAACUACCUAUUUUUUACUUUUCCAUUUUGUACUACUAUGUAACCGUUUUUUUAUUCGGUUAUACCAUAAUAUAGGUAACUACCUAUUUUUUACUUUUCCAUUUUGUACUACUAUGUAACCGUUUUUUUAUUCGGUUAUACCAUAAUAUAGGUAACUACCUAUUUUUUACUUUUCCAUUUUGUACUACUAUGUAACCGUUUUUUUUAUUCCUACGGGCAUUAUUAUAUAUUUUAUUUAUUUCCUGAGUGGUGUAGUGCCAUGAUACUUCAUUGCAGUGCACAGAGAUAUUGGUUCGAAUCCACAGCAAUGGAAACUUUAGGAUGUAAGUAAUUAUAUCUCGAAUGGAGCGCCUCCAAAGUCAAGACUGUCCAAAAAAUAUUACGUAAAAAAAUUAAGUCAUUAAUGAGAAAACAAAUGGUGCCGUCCUGGUAAUUUAUAAUAACUUAAGAGUUUUAUUCGGAAAAAAGUUAUUUUUUAAGGUCACUCUGUAUAUCAUUUCAUAUUUUGUAUUGAUGUUUAUAUAAAGUUAUUCAAGAUA
rnacentral:lncRNA from 1 species